AGAGUUUGAUCCUGGCUCAGGACGAACGCUGGCGGCGUGCUUAACACAUGCAAGUCGAACGGAGAAUUUAUUUCGGUAAAUUCUUAGUGGCGAACGGGUGAGUAACGCGUAGGCAACCUGCCCUCCAGUUGGGGACAACAUUCCGAAAGGAAUGCUAAUACCGAAUGUGAUCCCUUUCCCGCAUGGAGAAGGGAUGAAAGAUGGCCUCUAUUUAUAAGCUAUCGCUGGAAGAUGGGCCUGCGUCUGAUUAGCUAGUUGGUGGGGUAACGGCUCACCAAGGCGAUGAUCAGUAGCCGGUCUGAGAGGAUGAACGGCCACAUUGGGACUGAGACACGGCCCAAACUCCUACGGGAGGCAGCAGUGGGGAAUCUUCCGCAAUGGACGAAAGUCUGACGGAGCAACGCCGCGUGAGUGAUGAAGGUCUUCGGAUUGUAAAACUCUGUUGUCAGGGACGAAUGUGCGAACGUUGAAUAAGCGUUUGUAUUGACGGUACCUGACGAGGAAGCCACGGCUAACUACGUGCCAGCAGCCGCGGUAAUACGUAGGUGGCAAGCGUUGUCCGGAAUUAUUGGGCGUAAAGAGCAUGUAGGCGGGCUUUUAAGUCCGACGUGAAAAUGCGGGGCUUAACCCCGUAUGGCGUUGGAUACUGGAAGUCUUGAGUGCAGGAGAGGAAAGGGGAAUUCCCAGUGUAGCGGUGAAAUGCGUAGAUAUUGGGAGGAACACCAGUGGCGAAGGCGCCUUUCUGGACUGUGUCUGACGCUGAGAUGCGAAAGCCAGGGUAGCAAACGGGAUUAGAUACCCCGGUAGUCCUGGCCGUAAACGAUGGGUACUAGGUGUAGGAGGUAUCGACCCCUUCUGUGCCGGAGUUAACGCAAUAAGUACCCCGCCUGGGGACUACGAUCGCAAGAUUGAAACUCAAAGGAAUUGACGGGGGCCCGCACAAGCGGUGGAGUAUGUG
rnacentral:rRNA from 1 species